rfam:Triticum aestivum genome assembly, contig: Triticum_aestivum_CS42_TGACv1_scaffold_570269_7AS
CUCAUACUCCCUCCGUCCGAAAAUACUUGUCAUCAAAAUGGAUAAAAAAAGACGUGUCUAGAACUAAAAUACAUUUAGAUACAUCUCCUUUUGUUUAUUUUGAUGACAAGUAUUUCCGGACGGAGAAAGUAUUCG